rnacentral:miRNA from 1 species
GUGUCUCUGCGAGGUGAGGUAGUAGGUUGUAUAGUUUGGUGGGAGGAAUUACAUCCUAUUCAGGUGAUAACUAUACAGUCUAUUGCCUUCCUCGACGGUCAUGCAUGCAGCAAGAGAG